rnacentral:misc_RNA from 1 species
AAGUCGUAACAAGGUUUCCGUAGGUGAACCUGCGGAAGGAUCAUUAACGAAUAACUAUGGUGUCUUGGUUGUAGCUGGCUCCUCGGAGCAAUGUGCACGCCCGCCAUUUUUAUCUUUCCACCUGUGCACCGACUGUAGGUCUGGAUACCUCUCGCCCUUCACGGGGCGGAUGCGAGGGUUGCCCAUAACACGGCUCUCCUCGAAUUUCCAGGCUCUACGUCUUUUUACACACCCCAAUAGUAUGAUGCAGAAUGUAGUCAAUGGGCUUCUCAGCCUAUAAAACACUAUACAACUUUCAGCAACGGAUCUCUUGGCUCUC